UAUGUGAUCGUCUCUCGCAUAUCAAUAAGCGGAGGAAAAGAAACUAACAAGGAUUCCCCUAGUAACGGCGAGUGAAGCGGGAAGAGCUCAAAUUUGAAAUCUUAAAGGGUUUCCCUUUACGAAUUGUAGUUUAAAGAAGUGUUUUCUGUUGAGGUUUUGGUAAAAGUUCUUUGGAAUAGGACAUCAUAGAGGGUGAGAACCCCGUAUUUGACCUUUACUUUCAACUUUGUGAUACACUUUCAAAGAGUCGGAUUGCUUGGGAAUGCAGUCCAAAAUGGGUGGUAAAUUUCAUCUAAAGCUAAAUAUUGGCGAGAGACCGAUAGCGAACAAGUACCGUGAGGGAAAGAUGAAAAGAACUUUGAAAAGAGAGUUAAACAGUACGUGAAAUUGUCAAAAGGGAAGCGUUUGACACCAGUGUUGUUUUUCUGAAAAUCAAUUAAAGAACUGUUUAUGCUAAGCUGUUUAGACUUUAUCAGCUAUCUGUUUAGUUUUGAGCUUUUCUUUAAUGCACUUUUCAGUUAACAAGUCAACAUCAAUUUCUUUUGCUGUAAAAAAGCUUGAGGAAGGUGGCUUGAGAUUCGUCUUAAGUGUUUAUAGCCUCUUGCCUAUGCAGUCGGAGAGAUUGAGGUCUGCAGCGUAGAUCCUUCGGGGCUAAAUGCAUUUGUGCUAAGUUAUAGCAUUUUAUAGACAACUUGUUGACUAUGAUUUGUCUUGUAGCUUACUCGCUUAUGUUAUUUUACCUACGCUUAGGAUGUUGAGCGCAUGUCUCUCUCU
rnacentral:rRNA from 1 species